rnacentral:lncRNA from 1 species
UUCCAGUUUUUGGAGAAAAAAAUAAUUUGUUUUUGAUUCUGAGAAAAAAAAAUUGUUUGUUUCACCCUCAGCUGCCACUAUAUGUAAUGCUAAAAUUGAAAGAAAAAAAUUGUUUUCGACUUGUCGCGAAAAAAUAGAUUGUUUUUCGCCGUAGGCGAAAAAAAAAAUUUGUCCAGAAAAAAAAACCAUAGCCCCCCAGAAAAUCAAAUGGUUGCUGCCUUAUUCAU